GAAUCGGUUAGUGUAAUCAGCAUAAUGCUGGCAGAGGGUAACAGCACUUCUAUGUGUGAUGAGGGUUCGAAUCCCUCACCGAUUCC
rnacentral:tRNA from 3 species